rnacentral:tRNA from 1 species
GUGCUAUAGCUCAGUUGGUAGAGUAUUUGCCUUGCAUGCACAAGGACCUGGAUUCAAUCCCCAGCACACACA